GCCAAUAUUUCACAUAGUAUAAUAGAUAGCAACAGACAAGGAAACAUCUGUAUUUAAAUUCACUACUUAUUUUUUAUCCAGACACAAAUUGAUGUAAAAAUUGUUUCAGGUUUGGCUUAGUUAUAGCCUUACAUUGGGCUAUUCCAUUUAAUAUCCAUACCCCCCCCCCCCUGUCGAGGAUCCCUGGAAUUCUUCAGGGGUAAAGGGUUUUGAGCUUGGAAUUCUUCAGGGGUAAAGUGUUUUGAGCUUGGAAUUCUUCAGGGGUAAAGUGUUUCGAGUUUGGAAUUCUUCGGGGGUAAAGGGUUUUGAGCUUGGAAUUCUUCAGGGGUAAAGGGUUUUGAGCUUGGAAUUCUUCAGGGAUAACAGGUUUUGAGCUUGGAAUUUUGGAAUUCUUUGAACAAGGGUAAAAGGUUUUGAGCUUGGAAUUCUUCAGGGGUAAAGGGUUUUGAGCUUGGAAUUUUGGAAUUCUUCAGGGGUAAAAGGUUUUGAGUUUGAAAUUCUUCAGGGGUAUAACCAUGAAAAACAUGUAUCCUCGACAGGGGGUGUACGGAUAUUAAAUGGAAUAGCCCAUCAUGCUGUCAAGUG